UUUUCUGUUUGUUUUAGAGUG
rnacentral:piRNA from 1 species